rnacentral:tRNA from 3 species
GGUUCGGUAGCUCAGCAGGUAGAGCACAGGACUGAAAAUCCUGGUGUCGCGGGUUCGACCCCCGCCUGGACCACCA